GAAAUGCGAUAAGUAAUGUGAAUUGCAGAAUUCAGUGAAUCAUCGAAUCUUUGAACGCACAUUGCGCCCCAGUAUUCUGGCGGGCAUGCCUGUUCGAGCGUCAUUUCAACCAUCAAGCCCCCGGCUUGUGUUGGGGACCUGCGGCUGCCCGCAGGCCCUGAAAAACAGUGGCGGGCUCGCUGUCACACCGAGCGUAGUAGCAUACAUUCUCGCUCAGGGCGUGCUGCGGGUUCCGGCCGUUAAACGACCUUCAUAACCCAAGGUUGACCUCGGAUCAGGUAGGAAGACCCGCUGAACUUAAGC
rnacentral:misc_RNA from 1 species